GAUGAACGCUGGCGGCGUGCCUCAAACAUGCAAGUCGAGCGAGGCUAUGAGUUACCGCAAGGUAAGGCAUAGCCUAGCGGCGAACGGGUGAGUAACACGUGGGUAACCUACCUGGAAGACAGGGAUAACGAUUCGAAAGGGUCGCUAAUACCUGAUAAUAUCCAUCUGCCGGAUGGCGGAGGGAAGAAAGGGGAAACCCGCUUUCAGAUGGGGCCCGCGUCCCAUCAGCUAGUUGGUAAGGUAAAGGCUUACCAAGGCGACGACGGGUAGCCGGUCUGAGAGGAUGUACGGCCACACUGGGACUGAGAUACGGCCCAGACUCCUACGGGAGGCAGCAGUAAGGAAUCUUCCACAAUGGGCGCAAGCCUGAUGGAGCAAUGCCGCGUGCAGGAAGACGCUUUUCGGAGUGUAAACUGUCUUUUCUGAAGGAAGAUUAUGACGGUACUUCAGGAAUAAGGAUCGGCUAACUACGUGCCAGCAGCCGACGGUAAAAUAGCGUACU
rnacentral:rRNA from 1 species